rnacentral:rRNA from 1 species
UUAAGCGACUAAGCGUACACGGUGGAUGCCUAGGCAGUCAGAGGCGAUGAAGGGCGUGCUAAUCUGCGAAAAGCGUCGGUAAGCUGAUAUGAAGCGUUAUAACCGACGAUACCCGAAUGGGGAAACCCAGUGCAAUACGUUGCACUAUCGUUAGAUGAAUACAUAGUCUAACGAGGCGAACCGGGGGAACUGAAACAUCUAAGUACCCCGAGGAAAAGAAAUCAACCGAGAUUCCCCCAGUAGCGGCGAGCGAACGGGGAGGAGCCCAGAGUCUGAAUCAGUUUGUGUGUUAGUGGAAGCGUCUGGAAAGUCGCACGGUACAGGGUGAUAGUCCCGUACACCAAAAUGCACAGGCUGUGAACUCGAUGAGUAGGGCGGGACACGUGACAUCCUGUCUGAAUAUGGGGGGACCAUCCUCCAAGGCUAAAUACUCCUGACUGACCGAUAGUGAACCAGUACCGUGAGGGAAAGGCGAAAAGAACCCCGGCGAGGGGAGUGAAAUAGAACCUGAAACCGUGUACGUACAAGCAGUGGGAGCACCUUCGUGGUGUGACUGCGUACCUUUUGUAUAAUGGGUCAGCGACUUAUAUUUUGUAGCAAGGUUAACCGAAUAGGGGAGCCGUAGGGAAACCGAGUCUUAACUGGGCGUCUAGUUGCAAGGUAUAGACCCGAAACCCGGUGAUCUAGCCAUGGGCAGGUUGAAGGUUGGGUAACACUAACUGGAGGACCGAACCGACUAAUGUUGAAAAAUUAGCGGAUGACUUGUGGCUGGGGGUGAAAGGCCAAUCAAACCGGGAGAUAGCUGGUUCUCCCCGAAAGCUAUUUAGGUAGCGCCUCGUGAACUCAUCUUCGGGGGUAGAGCACUGUUUCGGCUAGGGGGCCAUCCCGGCUUACCAAACCGAUGCAAACUCCGAAUACCGAAGAAUGUUAUCACGGGAGACACACGGCGGGUGCUAACGUCCGUCGUGAAGAGGGAAACAACCCAGACCGCCAGCUAAGGUCCCAAAGUCAUGGUUAAGUGGGAAACGAUGUGGGAAGGCACAGACAGCCAGGAUGUUGGCUUAGAAGCAGCCAUCAUUUAAAGAAAGCGUAAUAGCUCACUGGUCGAGUCGGCCUGCGCGGAAGAUGUAACGGGGCUAAACCAUGCACCGAAGCUGCGGCAGCGACACUUAGGUGUUGUUGGGUAGGGGAGCGUUCUGUAAGCCGUUGAAGGUGACCUGUGAGGGUUGCUGGAGGUAUCAGAAGUGCGAAUGCUGACAUAAGUAACGAUAAUGCGGGUGAAAAACCCGCACGCCGGAAGACCAAGGGUUCCUGUCCAACGUUAAUCGGGGCAGGGUGAGUCGACCCCUAAGGCGAGGCUGAAAAGCGUAGUCGAUGGGAAACAGGUUAAUAUUCCUGUACUUGGUGUUACUGCGAAGGGGGGACGGAGAAGGCUAGGCUGGCCGGGCGACGGUUGUCCCGGUUUAAGCGUGUAGGGGGAGUGACCAGGUAAAUCCGGUUGCUUAUCAACCCUGAGGCGUGAUGACGAUGCACUACGGUGCAGAAGCAGUUGAUGCCAUGCUUCCAGGAAAAGCCUCUAAGCAUCAGGUAACAUUAAAUCGUACCCCAAACCGACACAGGUGGUCAGGUAGAGAAUACUCAGGCGCUUGAGAGAACUCGGGUGAAGGAACUAGGCAAAAUGGUGCCGUAACUUCGGGAGAAGGCACGCUGGCGUUAGGUGAAAGGACUAGCUCCUGGAGCUGAAGCCAGUCGCAGAUACCAGCUGGCUGCAACUGUUUAAUAAAAACACAGCACUGUGCAAACACGAAAGUGGACGUAUACGGUGUGACGCCUGCCCGGUGCUGGAAGGUUAAUUGAUGGGGUCAGCCGCAAGGCGAAGCUCUUGAUCGAAGCCCCAGUAAACGGCGGCCGUAACUAUAACGGUCCUAAGGUAGCGAAAUUCCUUGUCGGGUAAGUUCCGACCUGCACGAAUGGCGUAAUGAUGGCCAGGCUGUCUCCACCCGAGACUCAGUGAAAUUGAACUCGCUGUGAAGAUGCAGUGUACCCGCGGCAAGACGGAAAGACCCCGUGAACCUUUACUAUAGCUUGACACUGAACAUUGAGCCUUGAUGUGUAGGAUAGGUGGGAGGCCUUGAAGUGUGGACGCCAGUCUGCAUGGAGCCAACCUUGAAAUACCACCCUUUAAUGUUUGAUGUUCUAACUCGGCCCCAUGAUCUGGGGUGAGGACAGUGUCUGGUGGGUAGUUUGACUGGGGCGGUCUCCUCCCAAAGAGUAACGGAGGAGCACGAAGGUUAGCUAAUCACGGUCGGACAUCGUGAGGUUAGUGCAAAGGCAUAAGCUAGCUUGACUGCGAGAGUGACGGCUCGAGCAGGUACGAAAGUAGGUCUUAGUGAUCCGGUGGUUCUGAAUGGAAGGGCCAUCGCUCAACGGAUAAAAGGUACUCCGGGGAUAACAGGCUGAUACCGCCCAAGAGUCUUCGACGCG